rnacentral:rRNA from 1 species
CGGCGGACGGGUGAGUAACACGUGGGUAACCUACCUAUAAGACUGGGAUAACUUCGGGAAACCGGAGCUAAUACCGGAUAAUAUUUCGAACCGCAUGGUUCGAUAGUGAAAGAUGGUUUUGCUAUCACUUAUAGAUGGACCUGCGCCGUAUUAGCUAGUUGGUAAGGUAACGGCUUACCAAGCGACGAUACGUAGCCGACCUGAGAGGGUGAUCGGCCACACUGGAACUGAGACACGGUCCAGACUCCUACGGGAGGCAGCAGCU